AUUGAACGCUGGCGGCAGGCCUAACACAUGCAAGUCGAGCGAGCGGCGGACGGGCGAGUAAUGUAUGGGGAUCUGCCCGAUCGAGGGGGAUAACUACUGGAAAAGGUGGCUACAACCGCUUACUACCCGUUGAACCCAUAUUGGAUUAGCUAGUAGGGGGGGUAAAGGCUCACCUUGGCGACGAUCUCUAGCUGGGCUGAGAGGAUGAUCGGCCACACUGGGACUGAGACACGGCCCAGACUCCUACGGGAGGCAGCAGUGGGGAAUAUUGCACAAUGGGCGCAAGCCUGAUGCAGCCAUGCCGCGUGUAUGAAGAAGGCCUUAGGGUUGUAAAGUACUUUCGGCGGGGAGGCGUUAUCCACAGAGGAAGCACCGGCUAACUCCGUGCCAGCAGCCGCGGUAAUUC
rnacentral:rRNA from 1 species